AUGACUUCAUUAGGUUUGUUCAGCAUAAUCAAAGUCAAAAAGGGGAUAUAUGAAGUGCAAGGAGCCUUAGUAAAAAGAAAAUGCAUGCUGCCCUCUGAACCUGGAUUGUAUUGGUUGGUGUGUUGGACAUCAGGAGAACACUGGCUGCUGGAGGUUUCAUUCAUAACCUUUCCUCUGACCCGAACACAAGUACCAAGACACCUGUGCCCAAGCUGGCUUAGAAGCACAGACUCAUACAAUGUCCCAGGUAGGGAAGGGACCCACAAGGAUCAUCGAGUCCAGCUCCUGGCUCCACACAGGACCACACAAAAUCAAACCAUACGUCUGAGAGUGUUGUCCAAUUCUUCUGUCUGACAGACUUGGUGCCGUGAUCACUGCCCUUGGGAGCCUGUUCCAGUGCCUGACCACCAUCUCGGUGAGGAAACUUUUCCUGACAUCCAGUCUUGGCCCACUUGUAUGCAAUGUGGACAUCAGCAGCUGUGGCCUCAUCAUAUCUCUUGGAUUUUGGACUUGCCUUUUGGAUGUUGUUCAGGGUCUUUAGCCUGCUGAUUUUGACUCAUUCCUUGUAAAUGUUAGGCAAAAUUCCUGAAUUUCACAACUCUUAUUUUCCUUGCCUGAUAAGCUCCAGUCCUGUUCUUCAUCCUCUUGACAUCUUUAUCUCAGUUUGUUCUUCCUUUCUGUCCUGGUUCCAGUUAGGACAGCGUUAAUUUUCCUCCUAGUAGCUGGUAGGGUGCUAUGUUUUGGAU
rnacentral:lncRNA from 1 species